ACAAAUCAAAAAGAAUUUUUUCCCCCUAAACACGUGAGUAGAGGGGUUUUUCAAAUCUCGAAUAAUCCAAUUUUUCUCCUGAAGUACAUUUCCUCUUAUAAUAUGAGUCGCUUCAGAGGUAACCAAUUUUUAGUAAGGGAGGAGGGGGGAGGUAAAACAAACUAUUCCACCGACAAUGCAUUUUAAUCAGAGCAAUCGAUAAAGUUUGAUUAAAAACAUGCUCAAACAUGCAAAAACUUGUUCGCAAAUGGGUAGCGUUUAAAGACAGAAAUCCCACUAAAGUGCAGUAAAAAACGUUCGCCAACAGCACUCGAGUUGAGUUGGCAUUUAAUAUUGAGCGAAUCUUUCUCAUGCGGAAAUUUAGCUGCAUAUGCGAAACUAUCCAAUUCUGGGACGUGGAGUAUAACCUAUUAACGGCACCAGCUGUGACCAUCCCAAACAUCUGAGACGAUCCUCAUACAAGCAAGGAGGUAUAAACUCUUCAAAGCGUGUCGUUGCAGAAAUAGUCGGAAGUCAUAAACCGUGCAAAAUCUGUCCUCGACAUUGUCAUCAUUGUUCGGCCUUUUACAUUGUUUGCGACGCGCAGGCUGUGGAACGGAACUUGUACGUGACGCUUCGAAUAAUGUAGUAACAAGAGAAAAACAAGAUCAUUUCAGCUAUCACCUUUUUCAGUCGGACAUUUUAUGCCACCCCAUCUUAUUAUGUAGACAAGGUGAACAACAAAAAACAUGAGGAAGACUACUAACACAGAUACAAAUGACUCUCAGGAAGCAGAAAAGCCAGCACCAGCCAAACGGACAGGAAAGAAAAGAUCGAUGAACUCAGACUUACAAAUUGCGCAGGAAGCAGAAGCUCUCCUUAAGGGACUGUCAACUCCAGACACUGAAAAUGAAGGCCGUCGGACAACAAGAUCUCGAACUCGAGGUUCGACCACACCUGUUGCCACCCCUCCGCCACCUAAAAGAGAACGCAAGUCUGCAUCUGGAACCAGAGGAGGUAUCUAUUUUUAA
rnacentral:lncRNA from 1 species